AGCGGGUCUUUUUACAAGUCUGAAAUGGAUUUUCAAUCAAAUCAAUCGCAGUACUGUCAUUUUCUCAGAUUUUAAACAUGGCGAGUUCGACUUCAUGCGGUUCUGCGCAGAUAGACCGGCCUAUGACAUCGAAAUAACGCGAGAGCGGUUUUUCGAUGUCAUGCGCCGGUCGGGCUGCGCAGCGCCGCGUGACGUCGAUCAGGACAGAUGACCGUUUUACCUGACACGUGAUGUCUUCGACGCGGUAAGGAUUGAAUGCCUUUUGACAGGUUCUGCAAAACUGCUUGAAAUACACCUUUAAAAGAAAACCAAACAAUGUGAAGGCGUGGGGCUUCCUACACCAUCCUGUGACUCCAGCAUUAUGACAUUGGGAUCACUCGCUGUUACAGCGCCAUACGUUGAAUCGAACGGCCCAUCUUCCUCCUUCAUUCGCUUGUAACCUAUGUUAGUAUCAUCAUCAUCAUCCUCUAUGAGGUCCUGUUUAUGUAAUACCUCCCUCCUGUACAUGCGGUAACCCAGAAUGAAGAUACCGGCUUCUGCUGCUUGGAAGAGCGCAUAGAGCAGAGGAAACAUAUACAUGCCUCCCAUCAGCUGCGGUGGGAAGGCCAGCUUGAGGAUGGCCGUGCAGAGCUGCACGUUCUGGCAGCCUGUCUCUAAAGAGACAGUCCUCCGGCAGUUAGGGGGGAGAUCGAAGAGCGCCGCUAUGCCAUAUCCUGACGCGUAGCCGGCCAUGGGCAUAAGCACGGCAAUCAUGUACACUGAGGCGGGGAUGGUGGCCAGCAACUCCGGGCCAAGCAUUGUCCCAGUCAUGAUGAAGAGCAUCACCAGAGUGACCAGGAGAGACCAUAAGGACAUCUGAAGUGAGAGCACAAAGCACAGUAUGUGUUCCAUGGGGAUCGAACCUACAGCCUUUGCGUUGCUGACUCAAUGCUCUAAAAUGGUUUUUUGAGUCACCUUAAGGAUGAUGUCAGCUGCUCGUGAGUAUCUGUGUCUGAUCCACACCCCGAGACCGAUGG